CGCCAGGGUACUACGAGCACAGCUUAAAACCCAAAGGACUUGGCGGUACUUCAAACCCACCUAGAGGAGCCUGUUCUAAAACCGAUAAUCCCCGUUUAACCUCACCCCUUCUAGUCAAGCCCGCUUAUAUACCGCCGUCGUCAGCCUACCCUGUAAAGGAACCCUAGUAAGCAAAAAAGACAAAACUCAAAAACGUCAGGUCGAGGUGUAGCGUAUGAAGAGGGAAGAAAUGGGCUACAUUUCCUGAAUAAGGAUACAACGGACAAUAUAAUGAAAUUUUUAUUUGAAGGUGGAUUUAGCAGUAAGA
rnacentral:rRNA from 1 species